AUUGAACGCUGGCGGCAGGCCUAACACAUGCAAGUCGAACGGUAGCAGGAAGCUUCUUGCUGCUUCGCUGACGAGUGGCGUACGGGUGAGUUAUGUCUGUGCCACUGCCUGAUGGAGGAGGAUAACUACUGGAAACUGUUGCUACUACCGCAUAACGUGGCAAGACCAAAGAGCUUGGGCUUAGGGCCUCUUACCAUCGCAUAUGCCCAGGUUGGAUUAGCUAGUAGGUGGGGUAAAGGCUGACCAAGGCGACGAUCCGUAGCUGGUCUGAGAGGAUGAUCAGACACACUGGAACUGAGACACGGUCCAGACUCCUACGGGAGGCAGCAGUGGGGAAUAUUGGACAAUGGGCGAAAGCCUGAUGCAGCCAUGCCGCGUGUAUGAAGAAGGUCUUCGGAUUGUAAAGUACUUUCAGUGGGGAGGAAGGGAGGAAAGUUAAUACCUUGCCGUAUUGACGUUACCAGCAGAAGAAGCACCGGCUAACUUCGUG
rnacentral:rRNA from 1 species